ACCGACGAGGGCGACUACCAGGUGAAACUACGUAACCUGAUCCGUUUCCUCGAAGGUGGCGAUAAGGGCAAGGUGACCUUGCGGUUUCGUGGCCGUGAGAUGGCACACCAGGAUAUCGGCCGCAAGCUGAUGGAACGGAUUGCCGAUGAUCUCGAUGAACUGGCAACAGUCGAGUCCUUCCCCAAGAUGGAAGGCCGUCAGAUGAUCAUGAUCCUUGCCCCCAAGAAGAAGUGAUCCAAUGGCAGGUUAACGGGCAUCCAUCUUGUGUGGAAAGGUGGGUGUCGGCCUUGGGUUUUCUGAAAAACGUCCGAGUGGAGUUGUCCCUCAUGCCGA
rnacentral:misc_RNA from 1 species